rnacentral:misc_RNA from 1 species
AAUUUUGUGGUUUGAUGUAAUUUAUUCUGUUCUAAUAAUUUUGGCCUAUUGAGAUUUCUUUGGUUUUUCACUCCACAAUUGCAAUUUGUACAUUGAAAAAUUUACAAAUUAAAAGAGAAUGAUUUCCUUUCCACCCAAUUUGGAACAUUUUUUUUGUUUUAGAAUUUGUUAUGAAAAGUCAACCAACCAUAAUCUCUGUGUAUUUAUAUUCUUAUUUAGUGUG